GACGAACGCUGGCGGCAUGCCUAAUACAUGCAAGUCGAACGCCAAAUCUUCCUGCUUGCAGGAAGAGGCGGAGUGGCGAACGGGUGAGUAACACGUGAGGAACUUGCCCAUAAGAGGGGGAUAACACCCGGAAACGGGUGCUAAUACCGCAUAGGUUUUCCCAGUGCAUGCUGGGAAAAUAAAAGGUGGCUCUGCUACCGCUUAUGGAUAGCCUCGCGGCGCAUUAGCUAGUUGGUAAGGUAAAGGCCUACCAAGGCCAUGAUGCGUAGCCGACUUGAGAGGGUGAUCGGCCACACUGGAACUGAGACACGGUCCAGACUCCUACGGGAGGCAGCAGUAGGGAAUCUUCCACAAUGGGUGCAAGCCUGAUGGAGCAAUGCCGCGUGAGUGAAGAAGGACUUCGGUUCGUAAAGCUCUGUUGUUGGGGAAGAACACGGAUAGGAGUCACUGCCUAUCCCUUGACGGUACCCAACCAGAAAGUCACGGCUAACUACGUGCCAGCAGCCGCGGUAAUACGUAGGUGACAAGCGUUGUCCGGAUUUAUUGGGCGUAAAGCGAGCGCAGGCGGUUAGAUAAGUCUGAAGUUAAGGCUGUGGCUUAACCAUAGUACGCUUUGGAAACUGUUUAACUUGAGUGCAAGAGGGGAGAGUGGAAUUCCAUGUGUAGCGGUGAAAUGCGUAGAUAUAUGGAGGAACACCGGUGGCGAAAGCGGCUCUCUGGCUUGUAACUGACGCUGAGGCUCGAAAGCGUGGGGAGCAAACAGGAUUAGAUACCCUGGUAGUCCACGCCGUAAACGAUGAGUGCUAGGUGUUAGACCCUUUCCGGGGUUUAGUGCCGCAGCUAACGCAUUAAGCACUCCGCCUGGGGAGUACGACCGCAAGGUUGAAACUCAAAGGAAUUGACGGGGGCCCGCACAAGCGGUGGAGCAUGUGGUUUAAUUCGAAGCAACGCGAAGAACCUUACCAGGUCUUGACAUCCCUCUGACCGCUCUAGAGAUAGAGUUUUCCCUUCGGGGACAGAAUGACAGGUGGUGCAUGGUUGUCGUCAGCUCGUGUCGUGAGAUGUUGGGUUAAGUCCCGUAACGAGCGCAACCCUUAUUGUUAGUUGCCAGCAUUGAGUUGGGCACUCUAGCAAGACUGCCGGUGAUAAACCGGAGGAAGGCGGGGAUGACGUCAAAUCAUCAUGCCCCUUAUGAGCUGGGCUACACACGUGCUACAAUGGAUGGUACAACGAGUGGCGAGACCGCGAGGUUUAGCUAAUCUCCCAAAGCCAUUCUCAGUUCGGAUUGCAGGCUGCAACUCGCCUGCAUGAAGUCGGAAUCGCUAGUAAUCGCGGAUCAGAAUGCCGCGGUGAAUUCGUUCCCGGGUCU
rnacentral:rRNA from 1 species